rnacentral:rRNA from 1 species
UUGAAAGGGAAACGAUUGAAGUCAGUCGUACCUGUGGGUAAUCAGCCUUUUGGGUGUGAUUAUGUGGAGCGUGAGGAGUUAAACACCCUCAUCUUUGCAUAUUCGUGCACUUUGGGUGUACUUGCUCGUGUGGUAGGUUAACAUCAAUUUUGAUCGUCAUAAAAUGAUUGGAGGAAUGUAGCUUCGAUCUCGUAUUGAAGUGUUAUAGCCUUCGGUAGAUGUGAUGAUUGGGAUUGAGGAUUGCAACGGAUACCCUUCGGGGCUACCUGUCUGAUCUCUGAAAGUUGCUCUGGUGCUGAAAGCUUGCUUAUGGUAUCAAAGUUGACGUUCAACAGGUUAGAACGGGAUAAAUUCGUUAAGGAUGUUGACGUA